GGCGGGAGAAACGCGUGGGGGGGCGCGGGACGGGAGCGGAGAGGCGCGCGUGAGUUGGGGUCGGAUCCGGGGAGCGACGGAGGGGUCGGAAGUGAGUGGGGGGGGAGACAUGGCUCAGGAAGCUCCCGCUAAGGCGAAACGCCGCAGGGGGAGGGAUGGGGUAUCGGUGGGGGGGGGCUUUCCAAGCCCUGACGUGGGGGCGUGUAGGCCGAUUAAACACUCCGGCUUGGGGGGGGGGGGCCGCGCGGGUGAUACUUCACAGGGGAGUGGCGGGGAGGCGCCCGCAGGGGGGGGGCAGGUGGGUGGAUUGGGAAGCGAAGGCGAAGAGCCCGAACAGGUAUUGACAUGUAUCGCAUAGCCAGAAAAUAGGUGACUCCCCUCGGGGCAAGAGACCAGGGGGGGGAUGGUUGUCGUCAGCCCGCGUCGGGAGAGAUUGGUUUAAUUCCCGCCACGAGCGCGACCCUCAUCAUUAGUUGCCAGCAUUCAGUGGGGGACUCUAAUGAGACUGCCGGCGACAAACCGGAGGAAGGGGGGGGGGACGUCUCAUCAUCAUGCCCCCUCCUAUCCUGGGCGACACACAUGCUACAAUGGAUGGUACAACGACCAUCCACCCCACGAGGGCGAGCGAAUCUCUCUAAGCCACUCUCACUUCGUAUGGUUGUGUGCAACUCAUCCGGGCGAAGCCGGCCUUGUUAGUUAUUUUGGAUCAGCACACCACGGGGAGAAAAUCUCCGGUAAUUGUACACAGGGCCCCCCAUGAGGGAUAUUUUUUUACACACACCGGUGGCCCCCUUUAGGGGGUUAUAUGGGGUGUGUCC
rnacentral:rRNA from 1 species